UGAAUACGAGACGCUAAGGCGUCGAAGUAGUGUAUGUCAUACUUCCAAGAAAAGCUUGCACUGUCAUAGAUAAAAAACGCCUGUACCAUAACCGACACAGGUGGGUAGGUAGAGUAUACUAAGGGGCGCGAGAUAACUCUCUCUAAGGAACUCGGCAAAAUAACUCCGUAACUUCGGGAGAAGGAGUGCCUUAUUCGUAAGGUUGCAAUAACAAGAUCCAAGCAACUGUUUAUCAAAAACACAGGUCUCCGCUAAGUCGUAAGACGAUGUAUGGGGGCUGACGCCUGCCCAGUGCCAGAAGGUUAAAGAAGUUGGUUAGCAAUUGCGAAGCUGAUAACUGAAGCCCUGGUGAACGGCGGCCGUAACAAUAACGGUCCUAAGGUAGCGAAAUUCCUUGUCGGGUAAGUUCCGACCCGCACGAAAGGCGUAAUGAUUUGGAUACUGUCUCGGAGAGGGGCUCGGUGAAAUAGACUUGUCUGUGAAGAUGCGGACUACCUGCACCAGGACAGAAAGACCCUAUGAAGCUUUACUGUAACUUGAAAUUGAAAUUGGACUUUAUUCGCGCAGUAUAGGUGGGAGGCGUUGAUUAUAAUCUUGUGGGAUUAUUGGAGCCAUCAGUGAGAUACCACUCUUGUAAUGUUAGAUUUCUAACUUUGAAUCAUUAUCUGGUCAAAGAACAGUUUCAGGCGGGCAGUUUGACUGGGGCGGUCGCCUCCUAAACGGUAACGGAGGCGUACAAAGGUUUCCUCUGAACGGUUAGAAAUCGUAUCUAGAGUGUAAAGGCAUAAGGAAGCUUGACUGUGAGACCUACAAGUCGAUCAGGGACGAAAGUCGGUCUUAGUGAUCUGACGGUACUGAGUGGAAAGGCCGUCACUCAACGGAUAAAAGUUACUCUAGGAUAACAGGCUGAUCUCCCCCAAGAGUUCACAUCGACGGGGAGGUUUGGCACCUCGAUGUCGGCUCAUCGCAUCCUGGGGCGGUAGUACGUCCCAAGGGUUGGGCUGUUCGCCCAUGAAAGCGGUACGCGAGCUGGGUUCAGAACGUCGUGAGACAGUUCGGUCCAUAUCCGGUGUAGGCGUUAGAAUAUUGAGAGGAGCCUUCUUUAGUACGAGAGGACCGAGAAGGACAUACCUCUGGUGUACCAGUUAUCGUGCCAACGGUAAACGCUGGGUAGCUAUGUAUGGAGUGGAUAACCGCUGAAAGCAUCUAAGUGGGAAGCCCACCUCAAGAUAAGUAUUCUCAUC
rnacentral:rRNA from 1 species